GAGUUUGAUCCUGGCUCAGGACGAACGCUGGCGGCGUGCUUAACACAUGCAAGUCGAGCGGUAAGGCCCUUUCGGGGGUACACGAGCGGCGAACGGGUGAGUAACACGUGGGUAACCUGCCCUCAGCUCUGGGAUAAGCCCGGGAAACUGGGUCUAAUACCGGAUAUGACUCCGCAUCGCAUGGUGUGGGGUGGAAAGCCUUGUGCGGCUGAGGAUGGGCCCGCGGCCUAUCAGCUUGUUGGUGGGGUAGUGGCCUACCAAGGCGACGACGGGUAGCCGGCCUGAGAGGGCGACCGGCCACACUGGGACUGAGACACGGCCCAGACUCCUACGGGAGGCAGCAGUGGGGAAUAUUGCGCAAUGGGCGAAAGCCUGACGCAGCGACGCCGCGUGAGGGAUGACGGCCUUCGGGUUGUAAACCUCUUUCAGUUCCGACGAAGCCUUCGGGUGACGGUAGGGGCAGAAGAAGCACCGGCCAACUACGUGCCAGCAGCCGCGGUAAUACGUAGGGUGCAAGCGUUGUCCGGAAUUAUUGGGCGUAAAGAGCUCGUAGGCGGUUUGUCGCGUCGACUGUGAAAACUCAGGGGCUCAACUCCGAGCUUGCAGUUGAUACGGGCAGACUAGAGUUCGGCAGGGGAGACUGGAAUUCCUGGUGUAGCGGUGAAAUGCGCAGAUAUCAGGAGGAACACCGGUGGCGAAGGCGGGUCUCUGGGCCGAUACUGACGCUGAAGGGCGAAAGCGUGGGGAGCGAACAGGAUUAGAUACCCUGGUAGUCCACGCCGUAAACGUUGGGCGCUAGGUGUGGGGUCCCUUCCACGGGUUCCGUGCCGC
rnacentral:rRNA from 1 species